GACGAACGCUGGCGGCGUGCUUAACACAUGCAAGUCGAACGGACGGGCCCUGCUUUUGUGGGGUGCUCGAUUGGCGAACGGGUGAGUAACACGCGUGUAACCUGCCCCUGACUUUCUGAUAACUUCUGGAAACUGGGGCUAAUAUCGGAUAGGAUCUCCUGCAGCAUGUGGGGGGUUGGAAAGAUACGGCGGUUGGGGAUGGACUCGCUGGUUAUCAGCUGGUUGGUGGGGUAGUUGCUGACAAAGCCUUCGACGGGUAGCCGGCCUGGGAGGGUGACCGGCCACAUUGGGCCUGAGAUACGGACCAGACUCCUACGGGAGGCAGCAGUGGGGAAUAUUGCACAAUGGGCGGAAGCCUGAUGCAGCAACGCCGCGUGCGGGAUGACGGCCUUCGGGGUGUAAACAGCUUUCGCCUGUGCCGAAGCGUGAGUGACGGUAAUGGGUAAAGAAGCAACGGCUAACUACGUG
rnacentral:rRNA from 1 species